GGUGAGAUGGCUCAGCGGGUAAGAGCACCAGACUGCUCCUCUGAAGGUCCUGAGUUCAAAUCCCAGCAACCA
rnacentral:tRNA from 1 species